UACGAAGGGAGCUAGCGUUGUUCGGAAUCACUGGGCGUAAAGCGCACGUAGGCGGAUUUGUCAGUCAGGGGUGAAAUCCCGGGGCUCAACCUCGGAACUGCCUUUGAUACAGCAAGUCUUGAGUUCGAGAGAGGUGGGUGGAAUUCCUAGUGUAGAGGUGAAAUUCGUAGAUAUUAGGAAGAACACCGGUGGCGAAGGCGGCCCACUGGCUCGAUACUGACGCUGAGGUGCGACAGCGUGGGGAGCAAACAGG
rnacentral:rRNA from 1 species